GAUGAACGCUGGCGGCGUGCCUAACACAUGCAAGUCGAGCGUGAACCCUGCGAAUGAAACUUCGGUCGAUUUUGCAGGGGGAAAGCGGCGGACGGGUGAGUAACGCGUAGGUAACCUGCCCCAUACUGAGGGAUAGCCUCGGGAAACCGGGAUUAAUACCUCAUAACACCGUAUAUUCGCAUGGAUGUGCGGUCAAAGAUUUAUCGGUAUGGGAUGGGCCUGCGUCUGAUUAGCUGGUUGGUGGGGUAACGGCCUACCAAGGCGACGAUCAGUAGCCGACCUGAGAGGGUGAUCGGCCACAUUGGAACUGAGACACGGUCCAAACUCCUACGGGAGGCAGCAGUGGGGAAUAUUGCACAAUGGGCGAAAGCCUGAUGCAGCAACGCCGCGUGAGCGAAGAAGGCCUUCGGUUGUAAGACCUGUCUUAUGGGUAGAAGUCAGUGACGGUACCAUAGGAGGAAGCCACGGCUAACUACGUGCCAGCAGCCGCGGUAAG
rnacentral:rRNA from 1 species